rnacentral:rRNA from 1 species
GGUUACUUAGAUGGUUCAGUUCCCUGCGUUCGGGGAUGAGCCCAAACCGCAAUAAGCGGGGUUGUAGGACUGCGACAUGAGUUUGUAAAAACCGAAAGGUAGGAGAACCGCAUGGAAAGGCGGGCCGGAGCGCGUGAGAGCCGCGUAUCCGAAACCGGACGGACUCUAGCAGAAUCCUGAGUACGGCGGGGCACGGGAAACCCAGCCGGAAUCCGGGUCGACCACGAUCCAAGGCUAAAUACUAGGCAGCUACCGAUAGCGGAGAAGUACCGUGAGGGAAAGGCGAAAAGAACCCCGGCGAGGGGAGUGAAAUAGAACCUGAAACCAUAGACUGACAAGAUGUCACAGCCCGCGAGGGUGGUGGCGUGUCUUUUGUAGAAUAAACCUGCGAGUUACGGUAUGCAGCGAGGUUAAGGGAUGGGAGUCCCGGAGCCGGAGCGAAAGCGAGUCUGAACAGGGCGCAAAGUUGCAUGCCGUAGACCCGAAGCCAAGGUGAUCUUAUCAUGGGCAGGCUGAAGGCAGGGUAAAACCUGUUGGAGGGCCGAACAGUAAUCUGUUAAAAAAGGUAGUGAUGACCUGUGAUAAGGAGUGAAAGGCUAAACAAACCUGGAGAUAGCUGGCUCUCCCCGAAAUGCCUUUAGGGACAGCCUCAUACAAAGAUGCCGGAGGUAAAGCACUGGAUGGGAGCGGGGAUGUCAAAGUCUACCAAUUCCAAUCAAACUCUGAAUGCCGGCAUCCAACGUAUGGGAGUGAGACUGUGUGCGCCAAGGUUCAUAGUCAAGAGGGAAACAGCCCAAACCGUCAGCUAAGGUCCCGAAAUAGUGCUAAGUGUUAAAUGAAGUCCGGAUGCACAGACAGCCAGGAGGUUGGCUCAGAAGCAGCCAUUCCUUGAAAGAGUGCGUAACAGCUCACUGGUCGAGCAUGCGGGCGCAGACAAUGUAACGGGGCUAAGCAUUAUACCGAAGCUGCGGAUCUUGCGCAUAGGCGCAAGGUGGUAGGGGAGCAUGCCGUCAACCGGCGAAGGCGGACCCGCGAGGGCCGCUGGAGGAAACGGCAGAGAGAAUGCAGGCAUAAGUAACGAAAAGACGGGUGUGAUUCCCGUCCGCCGAAAACAUAAGGUUUCCAGGGUAAAGGCAAUCUGCCCUGGGUAAGUCGGAGCCUAAGUCCAGGCCGAAAGGCGUAGGCGAUGGUAAUCCGGUUCAAAAUCCGGAACCUCCGGCAUUUCGAUGCCACGACGCAUGAGGCGACGUCCGGCGGGAGAACGGUAGUUCCCGUCCAAGCAUUGAGCCGUCAAGGGAGGGGGUUAAAUGAUCCUCCCAGGCGAGAUGUGACAGCGAGCUGAGAGAAAGUCGAAGCGAAGCGGGCAGAGUCAAGGUGCCGAGAAAGAGUGGCUAGGCAAGGUGCCGGAGUCCGUACCGUAAACGGACACACGUAUGUAGGAUGAGUAAUCUAAGGCGCUCGAGCGACCUCGCGUUAAGGAACUCGGCAAAAUGCGCACGUAACUUCGGAAGAAGUGCGGCUCCUGUUUGAAAGGAUAAGGAGCGGCAGAAAGCAGGCCCAGGCGACUGUUUAUCAAAAACACAGCCAUCUGCGAACCAGCAAUGGGACGUAUAGGUGGUGACACCUGCCCGGUGCCGGAAGGUUAAGGGGAGAAGUCAGCCGCAAGGCGAAGCCUCGAACCGAAGCCCCGGUAAACGGCGGCCGUAACUAUAACGGUCCUAAGGUAGCGAAAUUCCUUGUCGGGUAAG